rnacentral:misc_RNA from 1 species
GAUGAAGAACGCAGCGAAAUGCGAUAAUUAAUGUGAAUUGCAGAAUUCUGUGAAUCAUCGAGUCUUUGAACGCACAUUGCGCCUCAUGGCAUUCCGUGAGGCAUGCCCAUCUCAGCGUUAGAAAAUAUUCUCAAAUUUUAGUUUUGUGCUAAAAUUUGGAUCAUGUCAAAGAAGCUAUUACUAUUAUUGUGAUCGCUCUUUGGAAAUUGAUAGGUCUUUGAGUUGUUACUCAUAGAACGUGAUGAAUCUUUCUUCGUUCUUUUGUAAUUCACUCUGGUAGUCCUAAAACUUGUAUGCCUGUGGCAUAUCUUGUAAUUUGACCUGAGAUUGGGUAGGGAUACCCGCUGAACUUAAGCAUAUCAAUAAGCGGAGGA